AUUGGGGACCGCGUUGCCGCUGCCGCAAAGUGCGGGGGAGGAAAGUCCGGGCAACAUAGAGCACCAUACUUCCUAACGGGAAGGCAUCGAAGGAUGACAGACAGUGCCACAGAAAAAAUACCGCCCGCAAGGGUAAGGGUGAAAACGCGAGGUAAGAGCUCACGUCGCCGUCAGUGAUGCCGGCGGAGGUAAACCUUAUGGGUUGAAAGACCAAAUAAACCGAGGCUUGAGGGCUGCUCGUCCGACUCGGAGGGUAGG
rnacentral:RNase_P_RNA from 1 species